AUGAACUGGAGGUCAGGGCUGGAACAGCGUAGACUUAUUUCAUCUGAUCCGAUCAAUUUCGAGUUAAUAUUUCACAGCUCCACACUGACAUUCAAAUUCAAGUUGCUGAUUAACUAAUUCAGAACAGUUAGAUGUCAGAGCAGGUCCUGGGUCAAUACCAAAGAGUGAAGCCUGAAUGUCGAUUGGAAAUCCAGAUGCCGAGGCUUGAUGCCAGGAGCCCCGAGUCUAUGAAUCUCUGUGCUUCUGCUAGGGAACCUGUGAGCCCACUCGUGGCUGGAGGCUGAAGAUAGCCUAUUGUGGGGUUAAAGGACCAUAUAUUUGUGCUUGGGAGAGAGGAAUGGGGUCUAUUGUUGUGUUGCCUCUUGGUUCUGUAUUUUCAGUUUUGACAUGUUCUGUGUUGUUCUGCCAAGCAUGGUGGGAAUGCUAUAUUGGUACCAGAAUGUGUGGCAACAUUUGCAGGCUACCCCCAGUAAAUGUAGAUUAUUAAUACAAACAACAUA